UGGUUUGCCGUUUCGAGGAAAAGUAUCUCGUUAUGCAAAUUUAAUUUGUCUCAUAUGUCUCCUCCUCUCUCAUAUGUUUCCUCCCCUCUCAAGAAAAUUAAUCUCUUUCUCUCUCUUCGACUUGUUCGUCUCUCUCUCCUCCAUAAUUUCUGAGCUCCUCUCCUCUUGGACUAUGUUUCUGAGCAAUUCAGGUGAGAUUGGGUUAUUGCAAGAAAGAUCUUUGGAUAUAGCAAGGUCGCGAAGCGGUAGAAAGGUCUUCUCAAUUGCUGAAGUAUUGUUGAAAGGAAAGGGCGUGGCGAAUCAUUAGUACAAUUGUAUACAUACUCCAUUGUUGAAAUAGGGUUGCUGAAUUUGAAUGUGAAGACUAUACCCAGGCAGUUCUGUUACUGGCUGAUGAGUAGAGUGUUUGGCGAUGGGACAAUGAUAUUUGGAGAUGGUGCAAUUCUUCCGUUGGGGCCAAAUCAAGUGAGGUCUAUUCUUGGUAUUCCAAUGCCUCUAGUUGCCGGGGAUGGCGAAGGGGAUACCCAGAAGAUUAUAAGGGUAUUUAAUCUUUAUGGUGUAGGGUCAAAGGGGGAAACCGUGUCCCUGAAUGCAACAGCCGAUGCCUUGUGCCCUGUGCUAAAAGAUGAUUCUGUUGUCGAGCUUGAGACAGAAGUUGAUAAAGAGGACUUUAUGACAUCUUUUUUUAAUAGUUGCUCUAGGAAUGGUAGUCUGCACGACGGCGAAUAGUUUGAAUUUGGUUGUAUUCUUAGUGCCGACAUUGACAGUGGCAUGUGAAGCUGUAGAGUAUGAUUGGUGCAAGUUCACAAUAGAUUGGGUGCGCGACUGCGCUGAUUGAUUUCAGACAAAAUUUCAGAAAAAUGGAUUUCGUUGCGGAUGUGGUGGGAGCAUUGUGUUUCUCUUGAUUUUUUACUUAGAUCACCUCAACCUGUACCAAUUAACUGGGGUGUUUAUCUGAGGGUGAAGGUGUGGAAUUCUGAACAGGUGAAGGGUGCUGUAGAAGACCACCGACGGUCUGACGAAGAAUUUGGGAAUUUGCCGAUGAGUUGUAGUCCGUUAUUGAUGUUUCUGUUGCCUUGUGCCGUGUGUAACAUUUAACUAACUUUGAUGGUCCUUUGCAGGUUGUUGAUGUUGCUUAUGGGGAGGACCAUCCUCUAGUUCCACGAGACGGUGAUGUCGGGUUGGAGGAAAAUAAUAGUGUGGGUUAUAAUUCGGUCAAUGCCGUGGUUGAUCAGGUCCUUGCUCAGUUAACUCCUUAUGCUUGUAAGUCUAGUUGAGAGGAUUGUUGGGACAAAUUAGCUACUGGUUCCAAGGGCAGUGUACCGAAGGACGAUCAAGAUUUGAACACUAGUAGCAUUGGUAAAGGGAGCCAGCCCCGUCAUAGUGGGGGCAGUAACAAGGUAUUGAAGGAUGCAGUAGCCGCUGAAAAGUGCCCAAAUGAAGAGAAGGAAUCUUCCUGUGCAUGUUGUUCGAGGGAUGGUGAACCCGGUGCUAACAUAGUGACCCGGGUUUGGUAACCGGUUGGUGACGUUUGUCAAAGGGUGGAAGGAUUUGAAGGAUGAAAAUAACUCAGGACUGUUGAUCAUUGAAUGCGAUAAUAUGGAUGCCACGCAAAGGGACUAUUACGGUGUAUCAGGUCCUAGAGCGCAUGUUGGGCAUCAAUAUGUGCGGAUGGCAUCGACAAUAAUGUAUAGAAAGUAUUGGGGCAAAAUGGAGUUUCUCAAUAGGAGGAAACAAAUUUUGUGGAACCCUCAUAUGCGGUUAGUAGACCUGUCAAUUUUUGACCCGACCUGCAAAUUUGACCCGAACCCGACCCGUUUUGUGGGUCUUGAACAA